UACGGAGGGAGCUAGCGUUGUUCGGAGUUACUGGGCGUAAAGCGCACGUAGGCGGCUUUUUAAGUCAGAGGUGAAAUCCCGGGGCUCAACCCCGGAACUGCCUUUGAAACUGGAGAGCUAGAAUCUUGGAGAGGCGAGUGGAAUUCCGAGUGUAGAGGUGAAAUUCGUAGAUAUUCGGAAGAACACCAGUGGCGAAGGCGCCUCGCUGGACAAGUAUUGACGCUGAGGCACGAAAGCGUGGGGAGCAAAUAGG
rnacentral:rRNA from 1 species